rnacentral:rRNA from 1 species
UACGGGGGGGGCAAGCGUUGUUCGGAAUUACUGGGCGUAAAGGGCUCGUAGGCGGCCAACUAAGUCAGACGUGAAAUCCCUCGGCUUAACCGGGGAACUGCGUCUGAUACUGGAUGGCUUGAGAUUGGGAGAGGGAUGCGGAAUUCCAGGUGUAGCGGUGAAAUGCGUAGAUAUCGGGAGGAACAUCAGUGGCGAAGGCGGCUGCCUGGCCCAAUACUGACACUCAGGUGCGACAGCGUGGGGAGCAAACAGG